rnacentral:rRNA from 1 species
GAACCUGCCUCAUAGACUGGGACAACUAUUGGAAACGAUAGCUAAUACCGGAUAACAGUAUUUCUCGCAUGAGAGAUAUUUAAAAGUUGGUUAUGCUAACACUAUGAGAUGGCUUUGCGGUGCAUUAGCUAGUUGGUGGGGUAAAGGCCCACCAAGGCGACGAUGCAUAGCCGACCUGAGAGGGUGAUCGGCCACACUGGGACUGAGACACGGCCCAG